UAGUUCUGGUUUCCCUUCAAAACGUACAAAUCUUUCGGCGUUUAUCAAAGAUUACCGUGGAGGGGAGUAAUUCAAUGAGUUAAAGGCUAUUUUCUUAACGGUUCAUCCUUUGGGCCA